AAGGAGACGGGAGCUGAAACACUUUGAUUUAUUACAUCUAUAGUUCUGCUAUAGUUCACUGUAAAUUUUUAAAAGUAAUUAAUAGUAUCCUUCUAGGAUCCAAAACCUCCCUUUAAAAAUCUUGAGGUUAUAACAUUUAGCAAGAAUUAUUAAUAUGCACUGAUGAUAUCAGUUCUGAGUAUCAUGUCAUUUAUGAAAUAUUUGAAUAUUGAUAUGAUUUCAUAAUGGAUAAAUUAGAUGUAUAUUAAUGUAUUUAAUUUUUAUUGUUUUUACUUUAAUAUGUUAAAAUAUAUUUUAGUAAAAAUCUAUUUUUAAAAAAACUUGACUGCUGAAUCUGGGCAAUUGGCUUAGCAAAAUCAGGCAUAGCGACCCAAGGCAAUCAAGCAACUCUUGAAUGAGAGGCAACAUUUUCAGAUUAGUAUAUAGCAUUCUACUUGGUUCCUCAGGAUCUAGUGGUAUGAAAUGGGAAAACAGGCUUGGUGAAACAUAACGUUAGCUUUGGAGAUCUUCCGUCUUCCUGACUGAAUGUCCAUUCUUUCCCACAGGCCAUUGCUAGUAUGUCUAGCGCACUAAGAAAAAACCCCAACUACCAAUUUUGUGAAUGUAGAAUAUCACCCAAGAGACUCCACUGGUGUAAGGGGAAUGAUGAGAACCUGCCUAAUCAUUCCUGAAAAAUAAUGCACUCUGAUUAACUUAAUCUUAAAAGUUUGGCAAUAGAAAGUAUAUAUUUAAGGAGAGACAGUCUGACUGCAUAGCCAGCUUUUCUCAGUAAUAGAGCUUAAAAGCUUCAACAGUGAUCUGUUAUUCUUACAAGAGACGAUACAGCUCCCAACAGGUGAAGAACAACGAAAUUAAUGGAUUGGAAAGUCAGAGUCUAAUGUAUGAGCUCUCAAAAGUCUCCCCAGACUAGCAAACUGAUUGUGCAUAUCCAGGAGUGCAUUCCAGAGCCCGGGAGCAACUACAGACAAAGCCCAAUCCCGAGUCGCCGCCAGGCAAGCUGGCAGCAUCCAUAGAUGGACCUCUCCUGAUGAACUUAAAAUGUGGUCGGGAUCAUACUGAAAAAGGCGCUCUCUCAGGCAUCAGGUAGCAUGGUUAUUCUCUCUCCAUUACAACGAAAGUGUUUUCCAUCCUGCUGUUAAUCUCCAGAAAGCAGGGUAACUAAACCAAAGUCAGUUUGACACAAACGAGGACUCUGGCAGGGAGUAGGCAAGUCCAGUGAACAAAGCAUCUGAAAUUAAAAGUCAAGCUGUGUGCUGUAUAUUACUUGUAAAUCACUGCAAUGCAACAUUCCCCA